rnacentral:rRNA from 1 species
UACAGAGGUCUCAAGCGUUGUUCGGAUUCAUUGGGCGUAAAGGGUGCGUAGGUGGCGGGGCAAGUCAGGUGUGAAAUCUCGGAGCUCAACUCCGAAACUGCACUUGAUACUGCCUUGCUCGAGUACUGGAGAGGAGAUUGGAAUUUACGGUGUAGCAGUGAAAUGCGUAGAUAUCGUAAGGAAGACCAGUGGCGAAGGCGAAUCUCUGGACAGUUACUGACACUGAGGCACGAAGGCCAGGGGAGCAAACGGG